GACGAACCGUGCAAACGUUGUUCGGAAUCACUGGGCUUAAAGGGCGCGUAGGCGGGCCAGCCAGUCUGUGGUGAAAGCCUCCAGCUUAACUGGAGAAGUGCCGUGGAUACUGCUGGCCUCGAGGAGGAUAGGGGCAUCUGGAACGGUCGGUGGAGCGGUGAAAUGCGUUGAUAUCGACCGGAACGCCGGUGGCGAAGGCGGUUCUCUGGGCCUUACCUGACGCUGAGGAGCGAAAGCGUGGGGAGCGAACAGG
rnacentral:rRNA from 1 species